AAUGAAGGAUAAGGUCCAGACGCUAAUCGACAACAAGGUCAUACAGGCGAAAUAGGCCGCACCCAAUAUCCGCAACAACCCCCUCCCUGAUCAUAGAUGUGGUGGGGUACAUGUGAUAGAGACAAAUAAAUAAUGGGACCCUGAGGGGUCGAUUGGGCUUAUUCGAGAAUGUGAUGACUUUAAGGUUGCAUUCAUGCUUACUCCUAUUGUGGUACAAUCUCAGUCAUCCAUCAAGGUCAAGGUAGCUGCAACGGUUCCAUUUGAGGUAGAGGUAGCUCCACCUGUGACCACUCCCCCUCCAUUUGAAGUAGAAGUGGUCACACCUUUCACUAUGACAGUAUCAACCACACCUCCAUUCAACUCAAAAGCAAUACCUUAGGAUUACGUGGCCGAGGCUCGGCAAAAAGGGAAGGCCAAGGUAGAAGAAUUUGAUGCUGCACAAGGAAUGACUAGGACUGGAAGAGUCUAUACACCUGAACAUUUGGGAGGAUCGAGUAAGGAUGCCACUACCAGGCAGCCCGUCAUUGAGACAGGGACAAAUGACCUAUGGAAGAAAGUACCAGCAAAAGAGUAUUUUGUCAUUGAUCAUUUGAACAAAACUCCUACUCAGAUAUCCAUCCUAUCAUUGUUGCAAAAGUCAGAGGCACAUAAGAAAGCCUUAAUGAAGGUGAUGGGCGAGGCUUAUGUACCCAAUAGCAUCACUGGUGAAGAAAUGACCAAUAUGGUAGGGCAAGUACUGGAAAGUCAUAAGAUUAUCUUCCACGAAGAUGAGCUACUGCUUGAGGGGUAGAAUCACAAUCAAGCAUUGCAUAUCAUAGUGCAAUUUGAAGACAAAUUCAUUGCUAGGGUCUUGGUCGACUGAGGUUCAAGCCUCAAUAUUUGUCCGUUGGACACUCUAAAAAUAUUGGACAAGGGUUUUCAUGAAAUACGGGUGGGAAGCAUGAACGUGAAAGUUUCUGAUGGGUCCCAAAGGGCCACAAUCAGGGAAAUCAACCUUUGCUUGCAGAUAGGGCCAACUUGGUUCGACGUCGAGUUUCAGGUACUUGACAUACCAACCUCAUAUAAUCUUCUGUUGGGCCGACCAUGGAUCCAUGCCGCUAGAGCCGUGCCUUCCACACUACAUCAAGCCAUGAAGUUCGAAUGGAAUCGUCAGGAGGUGAUCUUUUACGGAGAUAGGAGUAACCCCAUUUACACUAGCCAAACCAUCACGGCUAUUGGACAUAGAAGACGGCUAUGAGGGGAAACCUAUCAUCACAUUGAACGGGUCAAUGCCGUCGAGAAGGAUAAAUGGUGGAGUAGUAAAAUAGAAAGCAUAUUUGCCUGGUCUGGAUAUGAACCCAGCGAAGCGUUGGGAAAGAACCUCUAGGGUAUCACUAAACCGAUACGGCUGAAAAGUCAUGGUACCACCUUUGGGCUUGGAUAUCAGUACACGUGGCAAGAAUACAAUGAUUGGUCAUGUUAAUGGCGCGGACCGUAUUACCCUCUCGAGCAACCAGUGCCAAGCUUGAAACAAGCUUUUCAUCAAACUGAUACGAUAUGGGGGACCACAGAAGAGGAGGCGCUAGCUGGGUUGAAGAAUUUGUUCUUGGAGGACGAAGACAUGGAUUGUAGUGCCAUAAUUGAGGAGGAGGAGGAAGAAGGCCUCACUAUUCAGACCAUAAAGAAGGGAGCUAUUCUUAGGAACUAGACUAUCACACCAUCCCGAGCUCUAGGGGUGUUCAAAACCGAUCCGAAACUAAAAAUCGAAUGGAACCGAUGCUUAAUGGUUUACUGGUAACGGGUUAACGGCUUAACGAAUGUGGAACUGAUUGAAUUUUUUUUAUUAACAGCUUAUCGGUUUGGGGGAGGAUUACUCAAUUUUUUAACGGAAAAUCUGUUAACUUAUAUAUAUAUAUAUAUAUAAAAUUUAUUUUUAUUUAUAUAUAUUAAAUAUAAAAAAGACAAAAACCCUUGACUUUCCAGAACUCUGUCUGUCUCUAAGACUGAAUGGCAGAUUGUUGCUGCUAGCAAUUUAGGUUUGUGCAGCCAUGUUGUCUCCCUUAAAAAUAUCAUCACUAUCUUACUUGCAAUUCUUUUAUGCAGUGGUUGUGCAGUUGCUUCACGAACUUCAACUUCUGAUUCAUUUGUGGAGGACUACAUUCCAAAAUUUAGGAACUCUUGGUUUGUGAAUGUCUUUUUCCACUAUUCAAAUGAUCUCAUUAUAUUCCUAAUAUCCUUUUUAUCAGCUAUAGUUAACUCAUGGUUAAACAUAAAAUAGUGUUUUGUGACUGAUGGGACAAGUGAAACUAGCAAUACCCUGAAGUGCUCUGCUUUUUUAAAUAUGUAUGCUAGGUUGAUAAACCGCCCGGUAACCGUCCGAUAAGAGCUAAACCAAUAUCAAUCCGCCUGAUAUCUUAGCGUAUGGAUAGCUGAUUAAUAUAUUUAAAAGUUGAUAACCGAUAAGCCAAACCGUUAAGAGUAAAUAACCGCCCAAUCUGCCCGAUAAGCAGCCCUACCAAGCUCGCCGAGUCCCUGGGUAGCUUGGCAGAUUAUACUCCUAUAGCCAUUCUAGGAAUUUAAGAUAUCCAAUAAUUUUGAUUUACUUGUUUCAAAAUAAAUGCUCGAUUCAUCGAACUGUACUUGUCUAAAAAAAAUUUUGAUUUUAAUCAAAUGCAUUUGCGCUUUAUUAUUCAUAACUAUUUCUACACUUUUUCUUUCUACAUCAUUAUUAUUACUUUUCCUAAUGAACCAGUGAUUGUGACAUGUAAUGAGGCAACGCAACAUGAGAAUAGUGAUUGGUCAUAUCCUCAGAUGUUGCUGAUGAUCUUCCCGACUCCGGGAAUACACCGGAAUAUCAUCAAUAAAGACAAUGACGAACACGUCAAGAUACGACCGAAACACAUUGUGCAUCAAAUGCAUAAAGGCUGCUGGGGCAUUGGUCAGCCCAAAUGACAUAACAAGGAACUCCUAAUGACCAUACCGAGUCCUAAAAGCGGUCUUCGGGAUAUCUGGAUCCCGAAUCUUCAACUGAUGGUAAUUUGAGCGCAAGUAUAUCUUAGAAAACACUUGUACGCCCUGAAGCUGGUCAAACAGAUCAUCAAUAUAAGGCAAAGGAUAAUGGUUCUUCACUGUAACCUUGUUCAACUGGCGAUAAUCAAUUCACAUACGCAUAGAACCAUCCUUCUUCUUCAAAAAUAAAACAGGAGCACCCCAAGGUGAUACACUGGGCCGAAUAAAACCCUUAUCAAGAAAUUCCUAUAACUGAUCCUUNNNNNNNNNNNNNNNNNNNNNNNNNNNNNNNNNNNNNNNNNNNNNNNNNNNNNNNNNNNNNNNNNNNNNNNNNNNNNNNNNNNNNNNNNNNNNNNNNNNNNNNNNNNNNNNNNNNNNNNNNNNNNNNNNNNNNNNNNNNNNNNNNNNNNNNNNNNNNNNNNNNNNNNNNNNNNNNNNNNNNNNNNNNNNNNNNNNNNNNNNNNNNNNNNNNNNNNNNNNNNNNNNNNNNNNNNNNNNNNNNNNNNNNNNNNNNNNNNNNNNNNNNNNNNNNNNNNNNNNNNNNNNNNNNNNNNNNNNNNNNNNNNNNNNNNNNNNNNNNNNNNNNNNNNNNNNNNNNNNNNNNNNNNNNNNNNNNNNNNNNNNNNNNNNNNNNNNNNNNNNNNNNNNNNNNNNNNNNNNNNNNNNNNNNNNNNNNNNNNNNNNNNNCAUCUCCUUCAACUCAGGAAGAGCCGUACGAUACGGAGGAAUAGAAAUGGGUUGAGUGCCCGACAACAGAUCAAUGCCAAAAUCAAUAUCUCUAUCAGGCGGCAUGCCUAGAAGGUCAACUGAAAAUACAUCGGGAAAAUCUCGUACUACUAGAACUGAAUCAACUGAAGGGGUAUCAAUACGGACAUCUCUUACAUAAGCUAAAUAUGCAUCACACCCCUUCUCAACCAUACGCUAAACUUUAAGAAAAGAAAUGAUUCUACUAGGGGUGUAAUCUAAGGUACCUCUCCAAUCAACAUGUGGUACACCUGGCAUAGCCUGACAUAGCCAGCGUCACGAUUUUGGCAUGACAAUCAAGAAUAGCAUAAUGGGGCGACAAAUAGUCCAUACCUAAGAUAAUAUCAAAAUCGACCAUACUGAGUAAUAAUAGAUCGGCUCUGGUAUCAAAACCACUAAAAGCAACCAAACAUGACUAAUUAACACGGUCCACAACGAGAGAAUCUCCCACAGGAGUAGAAACAUAAACAGGAGAACUCAAGGAAUCCCGAGGUACACCCAAAUGCGGAGCAAAAUAAGAAGACACAUAAGAGUCGUAGAGCCUGGAUCGAAUAGAAUCGAUGCAUCUUUGUGGCAAACCAGUAUAAUACUUAUGAUGACAGAAUCGGAGGCAACCACCUCAGUACGGGUAGGAAGGGCAUAGUAUCUGGCCUAGCCCCCCCUUUAGGGCGAACUCUACCUCCCCGACCUCUACCUCUAGCUGGCUGAGUAGGUGGGGUAGCAACUGGAGCUGUAACCAUAGCCUGAGAACUCUGCAGGGCACGUUGUGGCUGAGAAGUCUGUGGAGGUGCACCCCUCCCAAGUCUGGGGAAAUCCCUCACCAUAUGGCGUGUGUUACCACACUCAAAACAAGCUCUGGGAGGACAUGGUGGCUGUGAUUGGCUAGAGCCAGGUCUGCUGGACUGACCUCUAAACGCACCCCACGCAGGAGGCGCGCUAGAAACCGGAGGUGCAUAAUAAGGCUCCUGAGGCCUAGGAGGAACUAGAAUACCACUGGUUGCUGGAAGAGCUAAAUGAAAAGGGUGACUCAUAUAACCCCUACCAUAACGACCUGUAGCUGGGGUACGGGCAACAGAAUAAUGACCCGACUCUCGAGACCUCUUGGCCUCCCUUUCCUCUUUCUCCCUAGAAUGCAUACCCUCAAUCAUCCUAGCAAUGCUCACCACCUGCUGGUAAGAAAUAUCCAUCUCCAACUCACAAGCCAUGCUAGAUCUGAUGCUGGGAAUAAGGACCUCAAUAAACCGGCAAACCCUCUCGCGGACAGUAGCAACCAAGGCUAGUGCAUGCCUAACCAAACUGGUGUAACGGACAGCAUACUCUGAAACAGUCAUAGAACCCUAGCGCAAAUGCUCAAACUCUACGUGCCAUGCAUCCUUGAGACUUUGAGGAACAUACUCCCUCAGGAACAUAUCUGAAAACUGAGUCCAAGUUAGUGAAGCAGCCCCAUCUGGACGGUCUAACUCAUAGUUGCGCCACCACUCUUAGGCGGCUCCUCAAAGCUGAAAGGUAGUGAAAUAAACCCUGCUCGAUCCUGAGAUACCCAUGGUACGGAGAAUGCAGUAACACUUAUCAAGGAAUCCCAGAGCAUCCUCCGAUGCUAGACCACUAAAUAUAGGAGGCUUGUACUUCUUGAACCUCUCAAGCCUCAAUUGCUCAUCCUCGAAAGCAGCUGCCCUGUCCUCGGGCUGAGCUGGCACUGCAGGCAGUACAGGAUUAUCAAGGACCUGCUCAACAUGAACUCGCUGCUCAAGAGUGCGGGCAAUGGGAGUCUGUGCUCCUCCCCCGGCCUGAGAUGUAGCUACAGCAAGGGGAAGCAACCAUGCUUAAGCUAAAGUGGUGUACAUGCUCAUGAACUGUGCCAAAGUCUCCUGAAGAGCUAGAGUGGUAGUACCAGUAGGCGUGUCAGGUGCCUGAACUCCGGCUGGAUCUACUGGUGGUACCUCAGCGGCAUCUCACGUAGGUGCUCUGGCUGCACCACGUGCGCUUCUUCGGCCUCAACCCCAGCCCUGGCCUCUGACAGCUGCAGUAGGGGGCACGGGUGCCUGAUCAUCCCGAGUAGCACGUGUCCUCACCAUCUGUGAGAGAAUAGAAGACAAAAGUUUAGAAUGGUGAUGUCAAAAUAUCACACGACAAGGAAAUCAAAUGAAGUGGAAUUUUUCCUAACAGUUACAUAGCCUCUCGUAGAUAAGUACAGACGUCUCCGUACCAAUCAGCAAGACUCUAAUAAACCGGCUUGUGAUCCAUGACUCUUAUGAACCUAGAGCUCUAAUACCAACUUUUCACGACCUCGGUUCGCCCUCCGUGAACCAUUGUGAUGACACCUAGUCCCUGCGACUAGGUAAGCCUAAGUUUGCUCAAGAUAACCAAACUUGCAGAAGUAAACAAUUUAAAAAUAGAAUAAAGCAAUAACAGUGUGUAAAUGUGCCGCUCGGCAUACUUCAUGUUUAACUCUCAACUCCAAACAUAAAUCCAAGACCCGAAAACCCAUGAAUUAUAAGCUAAGAAAAGAAUUACUACAUAUCUCUAACUCUGUAAUUUCUAAUAAAGAACAGAAAAGUACAGAAGGGCUAAAUACUAAAGGCAGGAGUAGAAAGGGACUCCUUGGUCUGCGGAUGCGACAGAUGUACCUCAGAGUCUCUAAGCAGUCGCCUCUCUCAACGAUAGUAGGCCUGAUCAGCGGUACCUGGAUAUGUACAUGAAAAACAUGAGCAGAAGAGGCAUGAGUACACCAUAGCGGUACUCAGUAAGUGACAAGCCUCACCUCGGUUGGGUAGUGACGAGGUAGGUCAGGGCCCUACUGAAGUUAAAUAAAAUAUAAGGGUUAACAGUGUGGAAUAAAACAGCAUAGCUAAGUGCAAUAGUAACAAAUAACAUAGAAUUGACAGAAUAACAACAACUAGAACAGAGACAACACAAGCCACAGAAAGAAAUAUAGCUCAACACUUCAAGUAACCAAAUGGCCCAAAUCAACUUGAAACCACACUUUUGCCACGAGUAUCCGACUCUAAAUGGCCCAAAUCUAUUCAAUUCAAUCGCAUAUUGUAAAUAACACUUCAAGUAACUAAUUCUACAAUUAAAGUCUAAGCUAAUACGCGAAAACAUGUAAAAUGACCAAAAUGCCCCUAAAGACAACAUCUCAGAAAUUAGGUGAAAUAUAUAUUUUCAGAAACCUCGUACUCUCACGAGUCUAUACAUGAUAAGAACACUGAAAUCGGAGUCCAAAUGACCCCUCAAAUCCUCAAUCAAAGGUCUCUUAAACUCAAGCCUUAAUUACCCCUUUUUCCCAAAUUUCUCACCAUUAAUUAGGUCUUUAAUCACAUAAAAACGAGUUAUGAAGUUAAGACAUUACCUCCAAUCGAUUUCCCUUUGUUUUCCUCAAAAAUCACUCUCAAAAGCUCCAAACCCGGAUGAAAAUGGUGGAAGAAUAGCCAAAUUUCGCAAAGUCAACUAUUUAUAUGUUCUGCCCAGCGAUUUCCGCAUUUGCGGACCUGGGACCGCAUCUGUAGUCCCACUUCUGUGGAACAAGUGUCGCAUCUGUGACUUUCAUUAAAUGGCCAAUUUUCCGCACCUGUGGUCUUCCACUCGCAGAUGCGGUUCCGCUUCUGCGGAAGAUCCACCGCAUCUGCGGAACCUGCUGAACAAACCAAAAUCCGCAUCUGCGGUCUCCUUAGCCGCAUCUGUGGUGUCACAUCUACGGUCCCUAAGCUGCAGAUGCGAAAAAUACCAGAAACAACAAUGCUACAGCUGCUGCAACACUUCUUCAACCUUCCCAACAACCAUUCGAAAUCAUCCUGAGGGCCUCGGGACCUCAACCAAAAGGGCCAACAUCACCUAAUACCUUAUUCAAACUUGUACCAAUACUUAAAACACCUAAAACAACAUUGGAAACUCGAAUUAAUCAAGGAUUUAAGCCUAACAACUCCAAUUUCCUCCAAAUACGCUUUCGAUCAAAAACCUAACCAAAACAAAUUCAAAUGACCUGAAAUUUUGCACACACAUCCAAAUGACAUGACGGAACUACUACAACUUCCAGAAUUCCAUUCUGACCCUCGGAUCAAAAUCUCACUAUCGAACCGGAAACUUCAAAAAUUCAACCUUCGGCAUUUCAAGCCUAAAUGAGCUACGAACCUCCAAAACACUAUCCGAACACGCUCCCAACCCCAAAAUCACCCAACGGAGCUAACGGAACCAUCAGAUUUCCAUUCUGAGGCCAUCUUCACACUGUUCCGACUACAGUCAAUUUUUCAACACUUAAGCUCUCAUUCAGGGACUAAGUGUCCCAAAUCUCUCCAAAACUCACAACCGAACAUCCCGACGAAUCAAAUUAGUAGAAUUAAACUUGGUAAAAGCAGUUAAUAGGGGAUCAGGGCAUUAAUUCUUAAGACGACCGGCCGGGUCGUCCCAAUUCUGGUAGCCAUUGAUUACUUCGCAAAAUGGGUAGAGGUUGCAUCUUACAAAGCUGUGACCAAGAAAGUCAUCGCAGAUUUUAUCAAGGAUCGCAUCGUUUGCCGAUUCAGAGUUCCCGAGUCCAUUGUUACUGAUAAUGCUGCCAAUCUCAACAGUGACCUAAUGAAAGCUAUGUGAGAAACUUUCAAAAUCAAGAAUAAGAAUUCCACGGCCUACAGACCUCAGAUGAAUGGAGUCGUAGAAGCCGCCAACAGAAACAUCAAGAAGAUACUAAUAAAGAUGGUAGAAAACCAUAAAUAAUGGCACGAGAAGCUACCUUUUUAUUUAUUGGGAUACCGCACUACGGUUCGCACAUCAACCGGGAUAACUCUCUACAUGUUGGUUUAUAUUACCGAGGCUGUAUCCCAACCGGGGUAGAGAUUCCUUCUUUAAGAAUUAUACAAGAAGCUGAACUCAGCGACGCAGAGUGGAUAAGGAGUCGCUAUGAAAAAUUGGCCUUUAUCAAUGGAAAAAGGUGAACGCAGUUUUUCACGGCCAACUUUAGCAUAACAGAAUGUCCAGAGCUUUCAACAAAAGGGUCAAACCAAGGCAAUUUGCACUAGCUCAGUUGGUGCUGAAGAAGAUCUUCCCACAUCAAGAUGAAGCCAAAGGGAAAUUCUCUCCCAACUGGAAAUGUCCGUACAUGGUUCGCAGAGUGCUGACAGGAGGAGCACUCAUACUUGCAGAAAUGGAUGGAGAAAUCUGGCCAAAACCAAUCAAUUCAGAUGCAGUCAAAAGAUACUAUGCUUAGAUUAUUUACAUUUCCUCAUUUGGUGUAAUUGAACUAUGCUUGACCUGAUUCCCAUUUAAGAGAGGAUACGUAGGCAGCCUUAUGGGUUCAGACAUAUCAUAAUAAAAUUUCCAUUUUUCCCAAGAUCAGAAAUUGGGGCAGAAUUUUGAGAAGGAUUCUCAAAAUUCUGAAGAAGGUUCAGCAAGGCCUAUUAUCCGCAGGCGAUCAAAAGAUCAUCUACCAAACUGGGGUAGAAUUUUGAGGAGGACCCUCAAAAUUCCAAUAUAAGAGAGAUGCAAUGACUUUGAGAUAAGUUACAGUCACUAGUUCAUCUAAAAUUACUUGAUAUAUCAAUACUUUUUAAAAUGACUCUAUUUUUAUCAAUAAUUGCAUAUUUUCAGAAACUCUAUUUCCAUAACAGUCAGGUGUCACCCAGGGGAACUCGAAAAGGCUUUCAGAACGGAGCAAAGCAAGGCAAGGCCAGAAGCACGAACCAACCUCCCCUCACGUAACUUACAAUUUUUCUUUGAACACAUGUCAUCUGACGUAAUGAUAACAUCCGCAAAUAUAUGCACGUAGCAAGAUUACUAUCAAUCAAGUCAUGAGAUACAGAAUAUAUCUCCAGCUAAGAGAUAUGCUACUUUUAUGUGCUAUUUGCUCUUUGCAUGAGGCUAAUCCCUGCCUCCCCACUUGUAUGAGGCUAAUCCCUUCCUCCCUACUUGCAUGAGGCUAAUCCCUGCCUCCAUACAUGAAUGAGGAUAAUCCUUGCCUCCAUACCUGCAUGAGGUUAAUCCCAGCCUCCAUACUUGUAUGAGGCUAAUCUUUGCAUCCCUACUUGCAUGAGGCUAAUCCCCGCCUCCCUAUUUGCAUGAGACUAAUCCUUGCAUCCUUACCUGCAUCAGGCUAAUCCUUGCCUCCCUUCUUGUGUCACGACCCCAAAUACCAGUUGUGAUGGCGCCUAUCACAUUACUAGGCAAGCCAACCCAAAUAUUUAAUCACAACCCUUUUCCUUAUAAUAAGCCAUUUUCUAACACAUGAUUUAAAUACCAAUUUUUCAUUAUAAGCGUUUAAAGCAACAAAAUAUAUAUGCAGAAGUGAAAUAAACAUGAAACUACACAGCCCCAAAUAUCUGGUGUCACAAGAUAAGAAGGAGAAAAUAGGGCUGCGGACGCCAUACAACAACCUUGAAAUCUCUGGCAACCUCUGGAUCAGCUGAGGACCCUCACUCUGCCACUCGGGCACCUGGAUCUACACACAAGGUGCAGGGAGUAACGUGAGUACGUCAAUUCAGUAAAUAACUAAAGUAAAUAAGGUCUGAAAGCAGUGACGAGCAGUUAAAAAUCAUAUAAAUGAAUAAACAACAGGAUAAUAGGUCAACUUCACAGUUUAAAACCUAUUUCGUCGUAAAAUCAUCAAUUUCAAUUUAAGCACUUGAAUUCAUAUACUUAGAAAUUUUCCAACAGAGGCUUAUUUUAAAAGAAGAGUGAAAUAAUUAAAAAACAUCAUAACUGGGUCCCUCAUGCAAGGUAUCACUCAGAACAUAGCCUCUCGCGCAGCCUCUCAUUCACUCGUGACUCACUCUCAUCACCCAGUAUUCACUCUUAGCACUCAGGCUCAUNNNNNNNNNNNNNNNNNNNNNNNNNAUCCAUAACUCACACAUGUAUGAAUAUCCUCACCAUUAUGUUCUCAACCUCUCUCAGUUAUUAACCUCACAGCCUCUCGGGCACACAGUAAAAAUUAGGGAACUUAGCAGUGUGAGCACAUGAUUUUUUCUCUAUAUGAAUUACUCUUAUAAAAUUCAAGAAAAUAAAUUUUUUCCAUUAUUUGCAAUUUUGUAGGAUUUUGUGAGAACUUGUGCUAAUUGUUUGUAUUUCUGUGCCUGGUUAUUUCUGUUAAAAAUCAUGAAAGGUACAAAAAUAUUAUGCAUUGCAUUUAGGUUUAUUCUACAGUUCCAAGAUUAAUUAGUGAGUAGUUUGUUUUGUUAAAAAUAAAAAUCACAAAAAUUGGCUCAUUUUUGCAAUUAUUAUCUUUAUUUUUAGAUUAUUGAUCUUUUCUCUUAGGAUCAAAUAAAUUUUAUAAAUUUUGUAAUUUGAUAAUUAGUUUAAUUUUACAACUUAGAUUAAUUUGGGGUUUAAUUUAGGAUUUUUAUUAAUUUAAGAAAAAAAAAAGAAAAGGAAAAAGGAAUUGGAGUUAAAAGGGCUGUUGUAUCGGGGCCAAUUAAUUAAGGCCCAAGUCAGUUUUUCUCACUACCCGCCCCAACCCAUAUAAAGUACCCAUCCCAGUCUGCCUAUUGGCCCAAACGACAACACUUCAUUUCUAAACGACGCCGUCUAGCUCUCCCCCCAUCCUAGUUGUUGAUCCUAAGUGAUCUAAUGGUUUGGAACUCGCCCUUUCCCCAUAUAAAAGUGUCCUAAUCCGACCCUAACCCCCUUAUACCCCCCCCCCCCCAAUUCUACUUUCCCUGUAUCUAAGAUUUAAAGAACAAGAACCCUUGCCGCCGCCCCAAAUUCCCAAGCUUCCACCGGCCGACGACGUGACCCAAUCGGCCCCAAAUCCACCGGCCGAUUUGAGUUGGAAUUUAUGCCGAUCAUUUGUUCUUGAUAAAAACAGUUGAUUUGUAUUGAUUUUAUCUCAUUUCAAGGCCUGUCGGACUCCAUGCAAAGUCAAAGUAACCGGCCAAACCUUGUCAAAAGUUGUCGUUCACCAUUUCUCUGUGGUUGCCGAAUUUAAUUAGGUUUGGUUAGAAAUUUUGAAUUAGUACCUAGCUUACUAAGAUAAUUGUGAGAACCAGAUUUCUUUUCUUGGCCCUUAUUUUAGUUCUUUUAUUUUUUUUUAGUCCUACUUGGGUCACAAUCUGAACCUCAAUGCUAAUUUUGGUGGUUUGGGUUUCAGUAUUGGGCUUCUGGGUCUUCUCUAACCCAGUUCAAAGAGACUCGUUCAUUUGGGUUGGGUCUUGGGUCAAAUUUGACCCAUGUUGGUUUUCUGAAUGUAAAUUGCAAGGGUGUCAAGUGUAUUUUAGGUAUUUGAGGGUUAGGGGAAUCUUUUUCUGGUUGGGGAAGCUUCUCGAGGAUAUGGUUGGGGCUGGUUUGUUAAUAGUAGGGGGUUUCAGAUAUUUGGAAGGAUUAAAAGGGUAAAAUAAUUAAGAAUUAAAGGGGUAAAAAGGGAAAUGGUUAGCUAGGCUAGGGCUGCCUUAGGCAUGCCUAUAUAAUGACCUAUUUCCCUUCAUUUUGAGGGGUGAUUCCUACUCUGAAAAAUACUAAAAACUCCUACAUCUUUUGGGUAUAAAUUGGUCUUGAUUUUGCUCUUUAGUCUAGAUUGUUAGUCAUAAUUCAAAAGCUUUAAGGAAUUUCUAUUUAUCUGGGUUAAAAAUGGUCUAAGGGAGCUGAACAUUGUUGUGUUUGAUUUGCUGAUUCACUUACUCUGUUGUUACUGCUGAAAUCUUCAUUUUCUUUGGUUUAUUUUGAUAUCCAGGUACCUCUUUGGACCUUAUUGAAUGUGAAGCUCUAACUUGAAGCAUGUAAUCGAAUGUGGAGAUCUAAACAUUAGUGUCAACUGAUGUUAUUUAGAAUCUAUAUUUGUUUUAUGCAUUUCAAUAGUUGAUUCUAUAAUUUGUCCUUGUAUUCAUUCAUGUUGCUGAUAAUACGUUCCAUGCUAGUUUUGUAUUUGGACUUUUACUUAUCAUGAUAUUGGUUUGGCUAAAACUUUCCCUGUUAAGCAUAUAGUGUCUGGGCUGUUGUAGUAGGGGUUUGGGGGUUGCUCUUGUUGGGUUUCGUUUUGUUCAAGUUAGUGGUGAAAUUCAGCUCGAGAUCAACUCUUAUCAUGACUUUACUGUUUUGGGAUUUUGGUUUUAGUACUUAAAUAAAUUUAGGGACUACUGUCGUAUUGUAAUACUUACUUCGAUGUCUGGAGUAUUUCAUUAUACAUAUGAAUUCAAUAGCAUCUUAGUAGUAGUUUCAAUUCUCAAAUGCAUGUGGCCUAUAGCUAAUUUCAGCAAAUUGAUCUCCAUGUUUAGUAUUGUAUGUAUGUGCCUAAGGCAAUAAAAUUUAUAAUUGGGCAUGUUAAGUUAGCUUGCCUAAUACGAGGCCUAAAACUAUCAGAUUCAAUUCUCUUUGGGUCUUGGGUCCAAUCUCAGUCCCAAGGGUCUUUAGCCUUGGCAUAUCAUGUGGCCCAUUUGGAUUUAUAUACUGAAAUGCAUUUUUGUUGUUCUCCUUUUGGCUUUAUCUAGAUUCGAACUCGAAUUUUGUUAAGUUAGUUAACCCUAACUUGUUAAAUGUUUAUACGCUGACAAUGAUAUAUCCCCCUUCUUCAUUGGGAGUUCAUUAUGAAAGGGCUAGGUUUAAGGCUGGCCCAAUUACCGGCCAAAUCAGCUGGGCUUUGCCCUCCCUGGCCCCCAUUUGGUUUUGUCUAAGCCCAAACCCCAUUAGUCCCAAUUGGCCUUGCCGUUUCUACAAUAAUUUGGGCUUGAAGUUGGCCCACUUUUACCCCAAAAUAAUUCAGGGAUUGGUAUGUAUCUCAGACUCUUUCACUAAUGGUUCGAACUCUUCCUUAACAAAAUGUUAGUAAGCUGGUUCAAUCCAGUAUUGUCCUUUGCCAACAAUUGGGGUGUGCCAUUUUAAUCAAAUAACCCAUGGCCCCCAUAAAUAUUAUAACUAAUUAUUUAAAAUGAAUAUUCGUAGAAAAGUCUUUAGGCGCGUUUAAAAUACAAUUGUGAUUGAGUAAACGUUUGUGUGACAUAAUCAUGAUUCUAAAACCAAUUCGGAGUAUGAGUUCGCACAACUUCGGUCAAACUUUAUUAAUAAUAAGAUUGUUGUUAAUAGGCCGCUAAAUUAAAUGUACUUCUUUAGCCCGAGGUGUGCCAGCCAUAAUUGAAUCCCUAUGGCCCUAGUGUUAGUUUUAAAACUUAGACAUUAAAAUGAUAUCCGGAGUUUGCUUUAGGCACGUUUAAUAUACUAUCGUUGUUGUAGACACAUUCGCGUGAAAUUAUUACGACUUCUAAAAAAUAAAACUGAAGUAUGCGUUCGCGCAACUUCGGCCGAACUUUCUUUAAUAAUAAUAAAGCAUUAUUAAUUGUAGACACGUUCAUGUAACAUGAUUUUUGAUGCGCCAAACAAAUGGGUAUACGUACGGUGACCCUUUUCAAGAUAAUUUCUUAAUUAAAAAAGGCAAAAUCACAUAGGUUCUAAAAAUGAGUAAUAGACAAUUUUAAUGAUCCAAGUAUGAUCAAAGUGACCGUGCUAGAACCACGGAACUCGGGAAUGCCUAACACCUUCUCACAGGUUAACAAAAUUCCUUACCCAGAUUUCUAUGUUUCCAUACCAUAAAUACAGUCGACUUCCUUGAUUCGGAAUUUUAACCGGUGACUUGGGACACCAUAAAUUAUCCCAAGUGGCGACUCUGAUUUUAAUUUAAAUAAUCCGAUUUUGAUUGUCACUUAUAGUGGAUAAAACUCCCUUAUAUACCCUCACGGGGGUAGGGAAAAGUAGGUGUGACAGAAGUGGAGUGAUAUAACCAGUUUUAAACAUUUAAACAGGUAAAACGUGAUUGAGGAUAUGCUUUAAACAGGUCGGCACAAGGCCCCAAACAUGGCAUACAGCCCAUAAUACAGUAUAAAUGACUAAAGUACGGAAUAAUAUAAGAUUCCAAAUCAAAUAUGCGGCUAAUAGUCGCUACGGGAUAGACCAAGUCACAAUCCCUACUGGUGCACGCCCACAUGCUCGUCACCUAGCAUGUGCAUCACCGCAUUUAUUAAAACAAGUCAAAUACCGGGUUUUUUUACCCUCAGUUCUAGAUUAACAAUGGUUACUUACCUCAAAUCGGUGAAAAUACUACUCUGCGACGCCUUUGCCCCUCGAAUCGGCCACCACUCACGUCGAAUCUAUCCAAAAUCAAAAUCAGAUCGACAAAAUAUGCUAAGGGAACGAAGCCCAAGAGAAAACAAUCAAAUAAUACCAAAAAUCCCAAAAUUCGGCAAACCCGACCCCCCGGGCCCACAUCUAGGAACUUGAUAAAAAUCACAUCAACGGAAUCCUUAUACUCCCACGAGUCCAUACAUACCAAGAACACUAAAAUCGGAGUCCAAAUGGCCCCUCAAAUUCUCAUUUUAAAAUCUCUUAAUCUCAAGCCCUAAUUCCUCAAUUUUAGGUUUAGAUUCUAUGAUUUAUUAGGUAAAUUUCACAAUAGAAUCGAGUUUUAAGUCCAAAAUUCUUGUCUCCAAGUGAUUCCCCUUGAAUACCUCUUCAAUCUUCUUCAAAUAUAUCCAAAAAUGACCAAUAAUGGAAGAAACCCCACAUUCGCGGACCAGACGACCUUUUAAACCUUCUGCCCAGGCCUGAAAUCCUUCUUCGCGAAUGUGGUCAAAGCCUUGCUUUCGCGAAGCACAAAUUAACUUUGACCAAUUUUCCUCUUUCGCGAUCGCGACAUCCCCAUCGCGAACGCGAUGCUUUGCUCAGACCAACCUUCGCGAUUGUGUUCCGCCUCUCGCGAACGCGAUGAAUAAAAUCCACAGAAACUCAGCUGCCCUUUUUGCUCUAUGCAAAAGCGACACCUCCCCCGCGAACGCGAUGCACAAACCCUUAGCCCUUCGCGAACAUAUAGCCUUCCUCGCGAACGUGUAUCCUUCUUCGCGAACGCGAAGGCUUAAAUUCUACCUUACUCAACCGACUCUUCGCGAACGCAAGGGUCCACUUGCAAAUGCGAAGAGUAAAAUACCUGCAAUAGCUGAAACCAAAAUCUUUUCUUCAACUUAAAAUGAUCCGUUCAACGCUUCGAAACUCACCUGAGGCCCCCGGGACCUCAACCAAAGGCACCAACAUAUCCCAAAACCUUAUUCAAACUUGUACCAAUCUUCAAAACACUUCAAACAACAUCAAGUCGACCAAAACACAUCGGAUUCAAGCCUAAGUUUCCAAAAACUUCUAAAUUCCGCUUUUGAUCAAAAACCCAACCAAACCACCUCCGAAUGACCUGAAAUUUUGGCACACACGUCUCAAAUAACACAACGACACUACUGCAACUCUAAGAAUUCCAUUCUGACCCCUAUAUCAAAAUCUCACCUAACAAUCGAAAAUCGCCGAAAAUUCAAUUUCGCCAAUUCAAGCCUAAAUUUACUCCGGGCCUCCAAAACCCAUUCCGAUCACGCUCUUAAGUCCCAAAUCACUUCCCGAAGCUAACCGAACCAUUAGAACUCACAUCCGAGCCCUAUAACACAUAAGUCAAUAUCCGGUUGACUUUUCCAACUUAACAUUCCUCAAAAGAGACUAAAUAUCUCAAACCUUACCAAAAUCAUUCCGGAUUUGAUACGACCAACUCGAUACCACAUAACACGGAUAAACAAAGCAUAAAGAAGCAGAAAUAGGGAAAACGGAGUGAUAACUCAUGAGACGACUGGCCGGGCUAUCACUCCUCCCCAACUUAAACAAAUGUUCGUCCUCGAACGAGUCAAGAAACAUACCUGAAGCCUCAAACAGGUGAGGAUAUCUGCUUCGCAUCUCCCGCUCGGUCUCCCAAGUAGCCUCCUCCACGAGCCGACCUCUCCACUGCACUUUCAUUGAAGAUAUAUCCUUUGACCUCAACUUUCUAACCUGAUUACCCAAAAUAGCUACUGGCUCCACAUCAUAAGUCAAAUCAUCAUCCAACUAAACCGUGCUAAAAUCCAAACAUUAGACGGAUCCCCAAUACACUUCUGGAGCAUAGAAACAUGAAACACUGGGUGCACACUUGACAAGAUAGGUGGUAAAGCAAGCUCAUAACCCACCUCCCUAAUCCUCCGAAGCACCCCAAAAGGCCCAAUGAACCGAGGACUCAAUUUUCCCUUUUUACCAAACCACAUAACACCCUUCAUGGGUGAAACCUUCAACAGAACCUUCUCGCCAGCCAUGUAGGACAUAUACCGAACACUCCUAUCAGUAUAUCUCUUCUGCCUUGACUGUGUUGUACGAAGCCUCUCCUAAAUCACCUUCACCUUUUCUAAAGCAUCCUACACCAGGUUUGUCCCCGAGCCUAGCCUCACCGAGCUCGAACCAACCAACUAGAGAUCUACACCACCUCCCACACAAAGCCUCAUACGGAGCCAUCUAAAUACUCGACUGGUAGUUGUUGUUAUAAGCAAACUCUGCAAGUGGUAGAAAAUGAUCCCAUGACCCUCCGAAAUUAAUGGCACAAAUACGCAACAUGUCCUCCAAUAUCUGGAUAGUGCGCUCGGACUGCCUGUCCCUUUGAGGGUGAAAGGUUGUGCUCAACUCAACCCGAGUACCCAACUCUCGCUGCACAAACCUCCAAAACUGCGAAGUAAACUGAGUGCCCCUAUCUGAGAUGAUGGAAACUGGGACACUAUGCAAACGAACAAUCUCCCGGAUAUAGAUCUCUGCCACCGCCCUGAAGAAUAGGUAGUACACACAGGAAUAAAGUGCACGGACUUGGUCAGUCGAUCCACAAUCACCCAAAUAGCAUCGAACUUUCUCAAAAUCCGUGGAAGUCCAACAAGAAAGUCCAUAGUGAUCCUCUCCCACUUCUACUCGGGAACAUCCAUUUGCUGAAGCAAGCCACCCAGUCUCUGAUGCUCAUAUUUCACCUGCUGACAAUUGAGACACCGAGCUACAAAUCCCACAAUGUCUUUCUUCAUUUUUCUCCACCAAUAAUUCUGCCUCAAAUCCUGAUAUAUCUUCGCGACACCCGGAUGAAUGGAAUACCGCGAGCUAUGGGCCUCCUCCAGAAUCAACUCUCGAUGUCCAUCUACAUUGGGCACACAAAUUCGGCCUUCCUCGGAUGGUACAAUAUAGUGAUAUCAUAAUCCUUAAGUAACUCCAACCACCUCCGCUGCCUCAAAUUGAGAUCCUUCUGCUUGAACAAGUGUAGGAGGCUACGAUGACCAGUAAACACCUCACAAUACACACCAUACAAGUAAUGCCUCCAAAUUUUCAAUGCGUGAACUAUGGCAGCCAACUCUAAAUCAUGAAUGGGGUAGUUGUUCUCAUGGGGCUUUAACUGACGAGAAGCAUAAGCAAUAACUCUACCCUUCUGCAUCAAAACACAACCAAUACCAACUCUAGAAGCAUCACAAUACACGGAAUAUGAACCUGAAGCUGAUGGCAAAACUAACACUAGAGUUGUGGUCAAAGUUAUCUUGAGCUUUUGAAAGCUCUCCUCACACUCGUCCGACCAUACAAAUGAAGCACCCUUCUAAGUCAACUUGGUCAAGGGCGAUGCGAUAGAUAAGAAUCCCUAAACAAACCGGCGAUAAUAGCCUGCCAAACCAAGGAAGCUGCAAAUCUCUGUGGCUGAGGACGGUCUAGGCCAACUCUGAACCGCCUAUAUCUUCUUCAGAUCAACCUGAAUACCCUUGUUGGACACCACGUGCCCCAAGAAAGCCACUGAACUGAGCCAAAACUCACACUUGGAGAAUUUUGCAUAAAGCUUCUCCUCCCUCAAUCUCUGCAACACAACUCUCAAAUGCUCCGCGUGCUCCUCCUGACUACGCGAAUACACCAGAAUAUCAUCAAUAAAGACUAUGACAAAUGAAUCAAGAUAAGGUUAAAACACAUUGUUCAUCAAAUGCAUGAAUGUUGCUGGGGCAUUGGUCAGCCCAAAAGACAUCACCAAGAACUCAUAAUGACCAUAUCGGGUCCUGAAAGCUAUCUUAACAAUAUUCGAGUCACCGAUCCUCAACUGGUGAUAACCCGAACAGAUAUCUAUCUUGGAGAACACUAUUGCUCCUUGAAGUUGGUCGAAUAAAUCAUCAAUGCGAUGCAAAGGAUACUUGUUCUUAAUUGUUACUUUGUUCAAUUGACUAUAAUCAAUGCACAUCCUCAUAGUGCCAUCCUUCUUCUUCACAAAUAGAACCGACGCACCCCAAGGUGACACACUAGGCCGAAUGAACCCCUUAUCGAGGAGUUCUUGAAGCUUCUCUUUUAAUUUCUUCAACUCCGCUGGUGCCGUACGAUACGGCGGAAUAGAAAUGGGUUGAGUGCCCGACAUCAGGUCAAUACCAAAAUCAAUAUCCCUGUCCGGUGGCAUGUUCGGCAGGUCUUCAGAAAACACAUUUGGAAAAUCCCUCAUAACUAGAACAGAAUCAAUACUGAGAGUCUCAGCUCCGACAUCCCUCACAAAGGAUAGAUACGAAAGACAUCCCAUCCCAACCAUAUGCUGGGCCUUCAAGAAUAAGAUCAUUCUACUAGGAACAUAAUCAGUCAAACCUCGCCACUCAAUCUGUGGCACACCCGAUAUAGCCAAUGUGACUGUCUUGGCAUGACAGUCCAGAAUAGCACAACAUAGAGAUAGUCAGUCCAUGCCCAAAAUGAUAUCAAAAUCCACCAUAUAGAAUAAUAAAAGAUCCACUCAGGUCUCCAGACCCCCAAUAGUCACCACACACGACCGGUACACACGAUGUACAACAACGAGUAGAUACAUGAAUAGGUGAAACAAGAGACUUACAGGGCAUAUCCGGAUAACGGGCAAAGUAUGAUGACACAAAAGAAAAGGUUGAAUCGAGAUCAAAUAAUAUAGAGGCAUCUCUCUCUGUGGCUGACUGAAACAAUCCUUAAAUCACGACAUCUGAAGCAGCAGCAUCUGGUUUACCCAGAAAAGUAUAGAAAUGGGCUGACCACCACCUGAUCGACCUCCCCCUCUAGGGCAACCCCUGGUUGACUGACCUCCACCUCUAGCUGGUUGGGUGGGUGGUGAAGUAACUGGAGCAAAAGUCGAGGGCUAACCCCUCUACUGAGAUGGACCAUCUUGAAGACGAGGACACUGCCUCCUCGUAUGCCCAAACUCUCCACACUUAUAACAACUCCCCGGUGCUGGAGAUGGGGACUGAAGGGAACCCCUGGCACUAGAAUGACCUAUAGAAGGACCUAGCAUAGAAGAACCCUAAACAGAUGGAGCACGGGACGAACUCUGGGCUGGAAGGGCACUAAGUGAUGAGUGGCCCUAAUGAGAACUAUGAGAACCAUGGCCCAAUGAUGCCCUACGAUAACCUGGGCGAGCUGAAUGAGCCUAUCUGAAUAGGCGGCCUCUGCUCUGAUGGAACUGGCCCCUGAAGGAGUACCACUAAUCUCACGGGCGAUGUGAACAACCUCCUCGAAGGUAGCACCUGUCACCCUCUCCUAGUCAUGAGAAUCCGAAGCUGAUAUGUGAGGCCAUCAACAAACCUCCUGAUCCUCUCUCGAUCUGUGGGAACCAACCAAACUACAUGACGGGCUAACGUGGAGAACCGCAUCUUAUACUGCAUCACAGUCAUAUCUCCCUAACGCAAUUGCUCAAACUGCAUGUACAGCUCCUCUCGGUAGGACUAUGGCACAUACUUCUCUAGAAAGAAAACAGAGAACUGCUUCCAAGUAAGGGGCGCUACACUAAUAGGCCUUCGCCUCUCAUACGCCUCCCACCAAGUGAAGGCAGCCCCAGAAAAUUGAAAGGUGGUAAAAGCCACACCACUGGUCUCUAGAAUACCCGCUGUACGAAGCAUCCUCUGGCACUUAUCCAAGAACCUCUGGGCAUCCUCUCCCUCCGCACCGCUAAAAGUCGAAGGCUUGAGUCUAUCAUACCUUUUUAGUCGACGUUGCUUGUCAUUCGGCAUAACUAGUACCAUAUACUCCUGAGCUGGUGCAACCGGUUGGGCUAGAGGUGCCCCCGGUGUCUGGAGUUCCUGCACAACCUGCUCAGGUGUGCGAGCAAUAGGAGUCUAGGUGCCUCCACCGGCCUGAGAAGUAGUUGCGGCCGUAGUAACUAAAACCGCCUGAGCCAAACCGGUACACACUGAUAAGAUCUAAGCUAAAGCCUCUUGAAGGCCUGGAAUCACAAUGGGCACAGUUGGUGACUGAGCUGGUGCUGUUGUAGCGUCCAUAACUGUGACCUGAUCCUGAACUGGGGCAAUUGGUGGAUCUGCUGGUGCUGCCCUAGCUGUUAUGCCCCUACCACAGCCUCGACCGCGUCCUCGGCCUCUGGUGGCCCCAACUGGUGGUACUGGCAGUCGUCCAUCCUACUCGGUAACGCCUGUCCUCACCAUAUGUUAGAGAAUGGAAUAACAGAAGUUUAGUACUCGGAUCAACAGAUUCGCACGAUAAGAAUUUUAAGAAUAUAAAGAUUUUCCUAAAGGUUCUGCACCCUCUGGAGGAUAAAUACGGACGUCUCUGUAUCGAUCCAUGAGACUCUACUAAAUCGGCUCAUAACUCGCGAGACCUAUGUAACCUAGGCUCUGAUACCAACUUGUUACGACCCCAAAUACCAGUCGUGAUGGCGCCUAUCACAUUAUUAGGCAAGCCAACCCAAACAUUUAAUCACAACCCUUUUUCCUUAUAAUAAGUUUUAAAUACCAAAUUUUCAUUAUAAGCAUUUAAAGCAAAAAAAUAUAUAUGUGGAAGUCAAAUAAACAUGAAACUACACAGCCCCAAAAUAUCUAGUGUCACGAGUCUAGAGACUCUACUAUAUAACUGACUGUCUGAUACAACAUAAGUAUAGAAAAUGCGGAAAAGAACAAGAUAAGAAGGAGAAAACAGGGUUGCAGACGCCAUGUAGCUACCUUGAAAUCUCCAACAACCUCUGGAUCAGUUGAGGACCCUCACUCUACCACUCAGACACCUGGAUCUGCACACAAGGUACAGGGAGUAACGUGAAUACGUCAACUCAGUAAGUAGCUAAAGUAAAUAAGGUUUGAACGCAGUGACGAGCAUUUAAAAAUCAUAUAACUGAAUAAAUAACAGGAUAACAGGUCAACUUCACAGUUUAAAACUAGUUUCGUCGUAAAAUCAUCAAUUUCAAUUUAAACACUUGAAUUCAUACACUUAGAAAUUUUCUAAUAGAGCCUUAAUUUAAAAGAAGAGUGAAAUCAUUGAAAAACAUCAUAAUUGGGCCCCUCGGGCAAGGUAUCACUCAGAACAUAGCCUCUCGGGCAGCCUAUCAGUCACUCAUGACUCUCUCUCGCCACCCAAUAUUCACUCUCAGCACUCAGGCUCAUUAAUAUAUCAUAAUAAUAGAAAUCAUAGUAACCGCUGCGGCGUGUAGCCCGAUCAAUAAUUUAUAGUCAACUACACUUACUAGGGGGUGUACAGACUCCAGAAGGGCUCCUACAGCCCAAUCGUCAUAUCACUGCGUCAUGCAGCCUGAUUCAAUAUAUAUAUAUAUAUAUAUAUAUAUAUAUAUAUAUAUAUAUAUAUANNNNNNNNNNNNNNNNNNNNNNNNNNNNNNNNNNNNNNNNNNNNNNNNNNNNNNNNNNNNNNNNNNNNNNNNNNNNNNNNNNNNNNNNNNNNNNNNNNNNNNNNNNNNNNNNNNNNNNNNNNNNNNNNNNNNNNNNNNNNNNNNNNNNNNNNNNNNNNNNNNNNNNNNNNNNNNNNNNNNNNNNNNNNNNNNCUCACACAUAUAUAAAUAUCUUCACCAUUAAGUUCUCAACCGCUCUCGGUCAUUAACCUCACAACCUCUCGGGCAGGCACACAGUAAAAAUUAGGGUCCUUAGUCUGAACAGUCCUCACAUUUAGAAGUGGAGUGAUAGAACUAGUUUUAAACAUUUAAACAGGUAAAAUGUGACUAAGGUUAUGCUUUUAACAAGUAAAGUGAGAAAAAAUAGUAAAAAUUCCCCUAAGGGUCUCAACAGGUCGGCACAAGGCCCCAAACAUGGAAUACAGCCCAUAAUACAGUAUAAAUGACUAAAGUACAGAAUAAUAUAAGAUUCCAAAUCAAAUACGCGACUUAAUAGUCGCUACGAGACGGACCAAGUCACAAUCCCUACCGGUGCACGCUCACACGCUCGUCACCUAGCAUGUGCGUAACCGCAUUUAUCAAAACAAGUCAAAUAUCAGGGUUUUGUGACCUCAGUUCCAGAUUUACAAUGGUUACUUACCUCAAACCAAUGAAAUACUACUCUGUGACACCUUUGUCCCUCGAAUCAGCCUCGACUCACGUCGAAUCUAUCCAAAAUCAGAAUCACGGCGUCAAAAUAUGCUAAGGGAACGAAGCCCAAGAGAAAACAAUCAAAUAAUACCAAAAAUCACGAAAUUGGCAACAUCCGACCCCCGGGCCCAUGUCUCUAAACUCAAUAAAAAUCACAUCAACAGAAUCUUUAUCCUCCCACGAGUCCAUACAUACCAAGAAAACUGAAAUCAGAAUCCAAAUGACCACUCAAAUUCUCAUUUUAAAGCCUUUUAAUAUCAAGCCCUUAUUCCUCAAUUUUAGGCUUAGAUUCUAUGAUUUAUUAGGUAGAUUUCACAAUAGAAUCGAGUUUUAAGUCCAAAAUUCUUACCUCCAAGUGAUUCCCCUUGAAUCCAUCUUCAAUCUCCUUCAAAUAGCUCCAAAUGUUACCAACAAUGGAAGAAAUAAACCCCACAUUCGCGGACCAGACGACCUUUUAAACCUUCUGCCCAGGCCUGAAAUCCUUCUUCGCAAACGCGGUCAACGCUUCGCGUUCGCAAAACACAAAUUAAGUUUGACCAAUUUUCCUCUUUUACGAUCGCGACAUCCCCAUUGCGAACCCGAUUCUUUGUUCAGACCAACCUUCACGAUCACAUUCUACCUCUCACGAACGCGAUGAAUAAAAUCUAUAGAAGCUCAGCUGCCCUUUUUGCUCUAUGCGAAUGCGACACCUCCCCCGCGAAUGCGAUGCACAAACCCUUAGCCCUUCGCGAAUGCGUAGCCUUCCUCACGAACAUGAAGGCUUAAAUUCCACCUUCCUCAACUAAAUCUUCACGAACGCGAGGGUCUACUCGCAAACACGAAGAGUAAAAUACCUGCAACAGCUGAAACCAAAAUCUACAAUUUUCUUCAACUUAAAAUGAUCCGUUCAACGCUUCGAAACUCACCUGAGGCCCCCGGGACCUCAACCAAAGGCACAAACAUAUCCCAAAACCUUAUUCAAACUUGUACCAAUCUUCAAAACACCUCAAACAACAUCAAAUCAACCAAAACACAUAGGAUUCAAGCCUAAGUUUCCAAAAACUUCUAAAUUUCGCUUUUGAUAAAACAAAACCCGACCAAACCACGUCUGAAUGACUUGAAAUUUUGCACACACAUCCCAAAUGAUACAACGGAACUAUUUCAACUCUAGAAAUUCCAUUCCGACCCCUAUAUCAAAAUCUCACCUACCAACAGGAAAUCGCCAAAAAUCCAAUUUCGCCAAUUCAAGCCUAAAUCUACUCUGGACCUCCAAAACCCAUUCUGACCACGCUCUUAAGUCCCAAAUCACCUCCUAAAGCUAAUCGAACCAUCGGAACUCACAUUUGAGCCCUCUAACACAUAAGUCAACAUGUGGUUGACUUUUCUAACUUAACCUUCCUCAAAAAAGACUAAGUGUCUCAAACCUUACCAAAAUCAUUCUGGAUUCGAUCCGACCAACCCGAUACUACAUAACACGGAUAAACAAAGCAUAAAUAAGCAGAAAUAUGGAAAAUAGAGCGUUAACUCAAGAGACAACUGGUCGGGUCGUCACAACUUGCAUGAGGCUAAUCCUUGGCUCCAUACUUGCAUUAGGCUAAUCCUUGUCUCCUCACUUGCAUGAGGCUAAUCCUUGCCUUCAUACCUGCAUGAGGCUAAUCUUUCACACCUUCAUGAGGCUAAUCCCUCCCUCCCCCACUUGCAUAAGGUUAAUCCUUGCCUCCAUACUUGCAUGAGGCUAAUCCCUACCUCUAUACCUGCAUGAGGCUAAUCAUUGCCUCCUUAUUUGUAUAAGGCUAAUCCUGGCCUCCCCAUCUACAUGAGGCUAAUUUUUGCCUCCCCAUCUGCAUGGGACUAAGCACUGCCUCCCCACUUGCAUGAGGCUAAUCCUUGCCUCUAUACUUGCAUGAGGCUAAUCCUUGCCUCCAUACCUGCAUGAGGCUAAUCCUUGCCUCCUUAUUUGCAUAAGGCUAAUCCUUGCUUCCCAAUUUGCAUGAGGCUAAUCCCUGCCUCCCUAUAUGCAUGUGGCUAAUCCUUGCCUCCAUUCUUGCAUAAGGCUAAUCCUUGCCUUAACAUCUGCAUGAGGCUAAUCCUUGCCUCCGCAUUUACACGGGACUAAGCACUGUCCUAUUUCGCACAAAUCUUUCUCUAUUUCUAGCACUAUCUAUUUGUUUUUCAAUCAGGCUAAGCUCUGCCCUCCAUUUCACAAGAAUAAGCCUUGUCUUGUUAACAUCAUAUUGUUACAUAUCAUGGGCUGAAAUAUUGCCAAUCUAUCCAAAGGAGUCAUAGUCUAAAAGGCAUCAUCCUCAAAGCCUGAAGACACCAUGCCAUUUCCUGAAGAUCUCUCAAAUUUGCAUAUAAUUAUUCAAAGGCGUCAUUGUUUGGAGGCACCAUCUUCAUGGAUCAAGAACACCAUUUCAUGGCCUACGAAUCCCCCAUUAAAUAGUUCAUAGCCCUGGACAUCAUUGGUCGGAGGACGUCAUCUUUAACCGUCCAAAGACAACCUUCAUGGUCCAAAGGGAAUCUGCAUCAUGUUUAAUUUUUUGUUCAAAUACAUGUUCGUAGCAUCUUUUAUCUGCAGGUGACCAGUAAGAAACCGUUAUCCUAGUAGGAGUGACCUCACUCCAGUUCUUUCAACUAUCUCAAACCUUAACCGCUCAUCAUAGCCAAUUUUGCAUCCCGUGUCCGUUCUUGCAAUGACUUCAUCAGUAUAUUCUGCCAAUGAAUCUAGAAAUACACAUGGCUUGAUUCCUGUAAGAACAGAUUCCGGCCUCUAUCUUUCAAAAUAACCCAUCCAGUCAAAAUUGGCCAUCAUUUCUUUAUCCGAAAACUCUUUCAUCCUUCCCCAGUAAAGAGGGAUAGUUGUUGAUAGCCAAUUUAUCCUUAUAAUUUUUUUUAAAUAUAUAUAUCUUCAAAAUAGCAUAUAUAUGCAUAUAUAAGCAUGCAUGAGUAUUUUUAUAAUUUUUCUAUAAUUUUAAAGGCUUCAAAUUGAUUUAUUUCUUCCCCUUUUACUUAUAAAAUUUUCAAUAAUUAUCCUUUAAAUUAUUUUUUGGAGAUUUAGUCAUCUAAAUUCUAUAUUUAUGCUAAAAUAUUGUUUAAAUAUUUUUAGUAUAUUUUAAUAAUUGCAUUUACAUUUUUAAGCUAAUUUACAUAUAUUUGCAAUACUAGCCGUAUUAAUGCAUAAUUGCAUUAUUAAUGCAUAAAAUGGUCUUUUAUAUUUUUAAAAUGUUAAAAAACUAUUUCUAAUCAUUUUAGUAUACAAAAUUAUUUUUUCAGAAAUUAUUUAUUAUAUCUUAUAAAUUAUAUACUAUUAAAUGGCUAUUUAAAUAUAGCCUAGUUUUAUUUCAAUUUAGCCCAAAUCCAACCCCAAUACUAGCCCAAUUUUUAAACCUAAAUAUACCCAGGCCCAAUACCAAUCUGCCCAACCCAAAUACUCGGCCAAAUCUUGGUCAUUGAUCAAGGUCCAUGUUUUCCCUUUCCUUAAUUAAACAAACCUAUACCACAGAAGCCUAAUUCAUUUUUCACCUUAUAUCAUCGUCACCUAAUCCUCUCUGCUCUCAAACACUCUCAACCUAAACCCUAAUCUCUAAAUGUCGUCACUCAUCUAUGACGGUCUCCGGUGACCUCUCACCACCUCUCAAGCCUCCAAUGGCUUCCCUCACAUCAUUCUUUCCAUCUCCAGGGCCCUCAAGGGAACAGGGUUAGCGACUUGCACCUAUGGCUCCUCCCUCGCCUAUUUUAGGCCAUUCCGGUAAGAUUCUAAGUGAGAUCGUCCUAUAUUGACUUCGAUCUAUGAUUUUCUAAACAGGUUCCUUCACCUCUCUAUGGUUUUCUUCGAAACCCUAAUUUCUUUUCUAAACUUCUUAGAUCUAUACAGAUCUAAGAUGAUUUGAGUUUGUUUCAUGUGAGUUUUACAACAGCCUUGGGAUUCUUUACAAGAAUAGAGUGAUUUUCAAGCGAUUUUCAUCUUUUCCUUCAACUAGGUUUCCGAAAUUUCUUUUAAAAAUUGUUUGAUGAUUUUUUGUGUUUAAACUUCCACUUCUCAUAUAUUUUUGACCAAUUAGCCCAUUUGUACUGAAAGCCCUAAUUUUCUAGGUUUUUCGUUUGGUUUCUGAGUACUAGUGCAUCUAAAUGUAUUCUUGCUUUGGGUUCUUCUGAUUUCCUGUGAUUUUCUUGUCCUAAUAUGCUUCUACUAAAUUUCUUAGUUCGACCUUUCACUGAUUUUAUAUGCUUGUGCUCGUUCCAACUAUUCAUGCUAAGACUUGUAUAUUUCUCCUUCAAUUAGUGUCGUUUAAUUAUGUGUUUUUUUAAAGCUAUGUGAAAUGCUGACUAUCCAUGUUAUACCUUAUUUUAUAUGCUGACUCUUUCAUGGCUUUCUGAAUCCUUGAUUACUCUGAAUCCCUUAUUUCCUAGUUUAAUUUUAACACUUUCCUUUAAACGUUUGAUUCUUACCUCUUUACUCAAUUUGAUUGAAUUUGCUUGCCUUAAUUAUUUUUCCUGCCUUAUUUGUAUUCCACUGGUUAUUGCUGAUUUAUUUCCUUAAUUAAAUGAUGUUCAUUUACACCUAAUUACCUAUUCUAUACCUAAAAUUUACUUGAUUCUUUUUCUUAAAUACUAAGCAAGUUUUACCGUUGAUCUAAUUGUCCCUUGAUUGAGGGAAUAUCUUGUUGAUUAACAUGUGACUUCCUUGAUUUUUUCUACUUAAUUGAAUUCUUACCUUAUUUGUUAAGUUUUUGAUUACUAUAUAACCCCCCCCCCCCCUUAUUCUAAGUUCUGAACAACAACAAGACUAGUUCCAAAACUCUCUCUUAUACUUAAAGCUUUCUGCUCUUUUCUGUUACUUGCUACUUCCAUUGAACUAGCCGGCUGUGAGCCAAGGCUAGUUAUUGCACUACACUUCUCUAUACUAUGUGUUCUCUUACUGUAUUAGUUUACUGAUUCUUGUCUAUCACUUGGCUUUUUCUAUAUGCAACUAGCAUGCUUAAAUCCUGGUUUCACUUAGCAUAUAUGAAACUACCUAUUCAACUUAUGAUUAACAUGUCUGAUAACUUUAUUGCUUUCUCUAGCAUGUCUCAAAUUAACUCUACUCCAUGUAUGUAUGUUUGAUUAUCUGUAUGUUUGUUUACCCAAUUCCUGAUAGUAAUCUACUUUGCUAGGUUACUUAAUACUCCCUAAGUACUUCUGACCCUAUGUUCAAAUUCUGCCUAGUAUAAGUAUGUUCUCCACUAUUUGAUUGACUCCUAAAUCCUAUAAAGAACUCUGAAAAAAGAAACUUCUGUGCUCUUGUUCUUACAUUAAUAUGUCCUAUGUGACCCCAGUUCCCAUACUCCCUGAAUGAAAUCUGUGUCUGAAUGGUGUUGUUUAAACUGUUUGCUGAUUUCUCAUAAUUUCACUAUUUUCAAAACUGUUUUAUUACUAAUCAAUUCCUAUUUUUCAUAAAACUUGUUUACUUAAUUGAGCCCUUUCUAACAUUGUUUUUCAUAUCAAUACCAUUUCAAAACUAUGUCAAGCACUCUCACAUUACUCCUAGAAUAUUAGGUUCUGCCCCUCUGGCAUGUGCACUGCCUUGAGAUCCUUGAGAUCUCUCUGAACUAUGGCAUGUCAGAGCUAGCCUUCUCACACUACACCUAAAUCAGUUACUGUUUGAGAAAGUCUAGGUGUGAGCAUUACCCGGGAUCCUUGAGAUCCUUAGGGAACUUUGAUACACCUAAACAUAAUACUGCCCAUGGAACUUUAGCAUUUGAGGCUAUUGGAGGCUUGGAAGUCAUUUGGGCCUACUCCAGGCUCCCUAUAGAUAACUUCUUCUUUUCUUUAUUUGUUUGUGUAAUUUAUUCAUCUGGUCUGUAAUAAUUAUUUAUAAACAACAUUGGGGUGAUUAGUGAAAAGGGGUGGGUAGUUACAUAUCUGUUGGGUAACUCGGGUAGAUACCAUGCCUAUGGGAUUGUGUUAAUUCACUUGCUAUGUUUUCUUUACUUUCAUAAUAUUAGAAAUCAUGUCUGUAGGAUCUAAAUAGCUUCAAUAGUAGAAAUCAUGCUUAUAGGAUCUAAAUGACUUCAUAAUUAGAUAUCAUGCCUAUAGAGUGUAAAGUAUUUGAGUUCAGUUUCUAUUACAGCAUGUGAAAUCAUGCCUAUAAUUUCGAAAAUCAGCUCUUAACAAUUAGAUACCAUACCUAUAGGAAUAAAAAUCAGAAUUCCUGCCUGUAGAACUUAAAAUCAGUUUAGUUAACAAAUCAGUUUAAUCCAUGUUAAGUUCAUUCUGAAUUGGUUUAAUCAAUUGUCCGCUUCUUUAAAUGAGUUUUCAAACAUUGCCCUAAAUUAAUACCACUAGAAAGCAUGUCAAUAGGAUCCCCAAGUGUCUAUUUAAAAUCUAUUCACUGUUUUACUGCAUCAAUGUAGAUAUUAUGCUCUUAGGAUAUCAUUGUUCUGCUUUUAGGCAAGCCUAUAGGGCGAUUUAAAUCUUGUAACUCUGAAACUAUGCUUUGUCAUUUAAAACUGUUCAGAUUUAACAGGUCCAAAUCAGUAGGGAAUCCAAAUAGGAUUUUGACACUUUGUCCUAGCUCAAUAUUGUAUAAUCCCUGCUCACCUAGAUAUAAUGUUCUAGGAUUUUCUCUUAAAUACUCGACUGUUGACGUGCAUUUACUUGUUAUAUUUGUGGAGGUGACUGUGAGCCUGUAAUUUGUUCUCUUUAAAUGUCGUCCUACUUGUUCUUGAUUGACGCCUAGACUCUUAUCUUUUAAAACCUUAGAAAGGUGUAGAACUAUCCGAAAGUAGAGGUCCUAAAAUACCUCCAGGGCCACAAGGAAGGGACGGGUAGUGCACGCAUAGGACAUUUUCAAGGUUGCUAGAACGCUUUAGGCUAUGACCAAGGGGAAGGACUUGGGUAGAAAAGGAUAUGAUGACUACGCGCUAAUGUCACAUGUAGCCCCUCAUUGAGGAGUGUUUAUCGGGCAUUGUGUGGGGUGAUCCUAUAGGCUAACCAACCUAGGACCCCUCUUUCCCAAUUCCCGAUGUUUAAACCUUACUCUCUUAUAUGCAACUUGUUCAAAUUCUUUGAGUCAUACAGUGUCCCAACAUGCCCUUAUUUGCAACUAUGUGUUUAACUAUUUAUUUGUUAAAGGACUAAUUCAUAAGUAUAAGUUCGGUCGGGACCCACCGUUGUAGACCAAUAGGGGUUCCUAACACCUUCCCCUUAAGGUUAUUUCGAGCCCUUACCCUAAUUCUCUGGUAAUGCAAACUAGUCUAAGAGUUAAUCACCUUAGGUGCCCUAACGCACCAUAAUUUGUUAGGUGGCAACUCUUCAAAAUACCCAAUUCCCAAAAGGAAUUGAUUUAUUACCCCCAUGAAUGUUGAAACUCAGACUUCUCUCUCUCUCUCUCUGCGGAGGGAAAAAAAGGGGGCGCGACAUGUACCAUCUCUAUUUGCUCAUUUCCUGGAUAUUCCUCGUGAGUCCUUGGGUACUCCCAUUUAUGUGUCCACUCUUGUGGGCAAUUUUGUGGUUUUAGAUUAAUUCUAUUAGUCCUGUGUGGUCAUAUUCUGUGGUUACAAGACUAGAGCGGACCAUCUGUUACUUGACAUGACUGACUUUAAGGUCAUCCUGGACAUGGACUGGUUAUCCCCAUAUCACGCCAUCCUCGAUUGACAUGCCAAGAUUGUUACUUUGGCGAUGCCAGAGUUGCCGAGAUUAGAGUGGAAGGGUUCCUCCUUUAGUACAGCUAGUCGAGUCAUCUCUUUUUUUAGGGCUUGAUAUAUGGCCGAGAAGGGUUGUUUGGCUUAUCUAGCUUAUGUUUGGGUCACUACCCCAGAGUCUCCGAUGAUUGAUUCAGUGCCAGUAGUUCGGGAAUUUUCGGAUGUUUUUCCUUCUAACCUUCCAGGCAUGCCACCAGAUCGUGACAUUGAUUUUUAUAUUGAUUUGGCUCUAGGUACCCAGCCUAUAUAUAUCCCACUACACCAUAUGGCUCUGAAGGAUUUGAGGCAAUUGAAGAAGCAGCUUGAGGAGUUGCUAGCAAAAGGGUUUGUCAGACCAAGUGUAUCGCCUUGAGGUGCACCAGUGUUAUUUGUGAAGAAGAAAGAUGAGACUAUGCGGAUAUGCAUUGAUUACCUCCAGUUUAACAAAGUUACCAUCAAGAACAAGUACUUAUUGUCGUGUAUUGGUGAUUUUUUUGACCAACUGCAAGGUACUAGGGUGUUCUCUAAGAUCGACUUGAGGUCAGGUUAUCAUCAGUUGAAGAUUCGGGACUCAGAUGUUCUGAAGACUACUUUUCGUACUAGAUAUGGCCAUUAUGAGUUUUUGGUGAUGUCCUUCGGCUUGACCAAUGCCCCAGCAACAUUUAUUGAUUUGAUGAAUAGAGUGUUUAGGCCUUAUAUUGAUUCAUUUGUCAUUGUCUUCAUUGAUGACAUCUUGAUCUACUCACAAAGCCUGGGGGAGCACGAGCAGCAUUUGAGAGUGGUGCUUCAGACCUUGAGGAAACAGAAGUUAUAUGUUAAGUUCUCCAAGUGUGAGUUUUGGCUAGAGUCUGUGGCAUUCUUGGGGCAUGUUGUAUUAGGCGAGGGUAUUAAGGUGGAUCACAAGAAAAUUGAGGAAGUUCAGAGUUGGCCUCGUCCUACUUUAGCGACUGAGAUCAGGAGUUUCCUGGGGUUAGAAGGUUAUUAUUGCCAGUUUGUGAGGGGUUUUUCAUCCAUUGCAGCACCUUUGACAAGAAUUGACCCAAAAGGGUGCUGCAUUCCGUUGGUCGUAUGAUUGUAAGGCGAGCUUUCAAAAGCUCAAGACAGCUUUGAUUAUAGCAUCAAUUCUAGUGUUUCUUUCCAGUUCGGGGAUGUAUAUGGUGUAUUUCGAUGCUUCACGCAUUGGCUUAGGUUGUGUAUUAAUGCAGGAGGGGCGAGUUAUUUCAUAUGCUUCACGUCAACUAAAGAUUUAUGAGAAGAAUUACCCUGUGCACGAUAUAGAGUUAGCUGCGAUUGUCCAUGCUCUUAAGAUCUAGAGGCAUUAUCUUUAUGGGGUGUCAUCUGAGAUUUACACCGAUCAUCGCAGCUUAAAACAUGUGUUCAAGCAAAGGGAUCUAAAUUUGAGGUCGCGCAGAUGGCUUAAGUUACUGAAGGAUUAUGACAUCACUAUUCUUUAUCAUCUGGGCAAAGCGAAUGUAGUCGGGGAUUCCUUGAGUAGAAAGGCGAAGAGUAUGGGUAGAUUGGUUUUCAUUUCAGCAGAGGAGAGGCCACUAGCCUUGAACAUUCAGUCCAUGGCUAACAGACUUGUGAGGUUGGAUAUUUUAGAGCCAAGUCAAGUUCUUGCAUGUGUUGUUGCACAGUCUUCACUAUUGUAGCAGAUCAAGGCUUGCCAGUUUGAUGAUCCGCACUUGGUAGUCUCAGAGAGACUGUGCUACAGGGUGGUGCCAAGGAGGUUUCUAUUGGUGAGGAUGGUGUUCUAUGACUCUAGGGUCAUCAAUGUGUUCCUAAUGUCGUUGGCUUAAGAGAGGAUUCUAGAAGUGGCACGCAUUUCUCUAUAUUCCAUUCAUCCAGGUGCUACGAAGAUGUAUUAUGAACUGAGACAGCAUUAUUGGUGGCGGUAGAUGAAGAAAUACAUAGUUGAGUAUGUAAUUAGGUGCCUAAAUUACCAGCAGGUCAAGUAUGAGCACCAGAGGCCAGGUGUCCUACUUCAGCAGAUGACUAUACCUUAGUGGAAAUAGGAGCGCAUUACUACGGAAUUCGUAGUUGGAUUGCCGCGGACCUUGCAAAAGUUUGAUGCAGUUUGGGUCAUUGUCGACAGGUUGACAAAGUCGGCACACUUCUUUCCGAUUGAGACUACAUAUACUUCAGAGAAGUCAUCCCAGAUUUAUAUUCGGGAGAUAGUUCGGUUUUAUGGUGUGUCUGUUUCCAUCAUAUCAGAUAGAGGGCUUCAGUUCACUUCACAUUUUUGGAGAGUCGUUCAGAGUGAGUUGGGAACCUGUGUAGAGCUCAGCACUGCGUUUCAGCCACAUACCGAUGGGCAGUCAUAACGGACAGUUCAGAUCUUGGAGGACAUGCUCAGGGCAUGUGUGAUUGACUUUGGGGGACAAUGGAAUCAGUUCUUACAUCUGGCUCGGGUUUGCUUACAACAACAAUUAUCAGUCCAGUAUCGAGAUGGCUCCAUUUGAGGCUUUAUAUGGUCGACGAUGUCGUUCUCCCAUCAGGUGGUUUGAGCCCGGCGAGGCUAAAUUAUAUGGUAUUGAAUUGGUGAUAGAUGACUUGGAAAAUGUAAAGUUAAUUCAGGAGCGACUUCGCACAGCACACUCCAGACAGAAGAGUUAGGUGGAUCAGAAGGCACGUGAUGUAUCAUUUAUGGUAGGCGAGAAGGUUCUCUUGAAAGUCUUGCCGAUGAAGGGUAUCAUGAGAUUCGGGAAGAAGGACAAGCUGAGCCAAAGGUUUAUAGGACCAUUUGAGGUGUUGAGGCGGGUUGGGGAGGUUGCUUAUGAGUUUGCUUUACCUCCCACCUUAUCAGGUGUUCAUCCGGAUUUUCAUGUGUCUAAGCUCUAGAGGUAUCAUGCCGACUUGUUGCAUGUGUUAGACUUCAGCACUAUUCAGCUAGAUGAAAGCUUGGGUUAUGAGGAUGAUCCAGAUACCAUUGUUGCUAGACAUGAUAACAGCCGAAUCAAAGAGGAUUUCCACGGUAAAGGUUUAGUGGAAGAGCAACCAAUUGAGGAGUUGACCUGUGAAUCCAAAAAGGACAUGCGGAGCAGAUAUCCACACUUAUUCAGCACUUCAGGUUUUAAUCUAGACCCGUUCGAGGAGGAACGUUUGUUUAAGAUGUGGAGCAUAUAAUGAUCCAACCGGUCGUUUUUCUUUCUAGAACCUCGUUCCCCUAAAUGAGACUUCCCAUACUUGUUUUUACUGAUUUAUGACUUGCGAGGAUGGUUAGUUCGGGAUUUGGAAGAGUUCGGGUUGAAAUAGGAACACUUGGUUCAUUAAGUUGGGCUUAAAAGGCCAAGUUUGACUUCGCUCAACAUUUUUAGUAAACAACCUCGAAAUUGGGAUUUGACAAUUCCAAUAGGUUCGUAUGAUGAUUUCAGACUUGGGCAUAUGUUCGGAUCGGAUUUUGGAUGACCCGGGAGCAUUUUGGUGCCUAAUAGUGAAAGUUGGUUCUUGAAGGUUUUAGAAGUUCUUUAAAUUUGGUUUGGAGAUGGUUUUGGUGAAAUCGAGGUCCAAACGGAAUUCCAAGACCGGUAGUAGUUUCGUAAUGUCAUUUAAGACUUUCACGCAAAAUUUGGUGUCAUUCCGAGUAGUAUAAGUACAUUUCGGCGCUUACCAUCACCUUACGGUACCCGUAUGGGUUUUUACCAAUAAAACUCUCUCAUUUUAUUUCUCUCAUUUUGUUGUAUCAGAUCCAAGUAACUAUAUCCUUCCAUUUUGAACCUCUUUGCCGAUUGAUCAGAAGGAUCUGAACAGUUUUGGGUAAAAGGAUUUAGAUUGAGUUACAACUUUGGAACCUUUCGGGCGAAACCAUCGCCAAACCAUUAUAACAUCUGCCCCAGUUUCACUUUUAGGGGAAUUUGGAUUUUAUUUUGGUGUGACUAAACCCCAGAGAGAGGCUGCCUACGUAUCCUUUCGGAAUCAAGUUGAACGUAGUUCAGGGAACUUUAUUUUUGUUUUUCUUUUCUUUUGUUUUUUCUUCUGUUUUGUUUGUUUAUUUUUUUCUUUCCUUUUUCGUCUUUUUUUUCUCAUCAAUUCAUUUUCUUUGUCUUUUCUUCCCCUUUUUGUAUCUUUCUUUUUCUUCUCUUUUCAUCUUUUUUUCAUUUUUUAUUUUAUUUUUUAAUUUUUUUCAAUAACACUUUCAGGUUCCAAAGUGGGUAAUCAAAUAGGAGUAACCAGCUCAAAGGGUUUGCAAAGGGUUGAAUAUUUUGAUAGUGAGAUAGAAAGCCUUCUUCAUCCCCACCAGAAAACAUUAAUGUUAUAUAGAGGAUCCAACAUAGUACCUUUUGACUGCAUUUGCACUGACAGUUGUUUCAAGGACAUUUCCUUCGAUGUGUCCCAAGUACGACGCACUCUUUUGGUAGUACUCUUGUUGUAAUGUAUGUACCUUUCCAAUAUGGAACCAAUUUUCCUUCAGAUGUUCUGAAUCUUAAUUUUAUUUCCUUAAAAAUUAUCUUCAUUGCGAUCAAAUUUUUGAUUCAUUAUUUCGGGGUUUGACAGCUUUCAGGAUCUGGGCAUAUAGUCCAAAAGCAUGUAAUGUUAUUGAAAUCCGCAUUUAACAGAAUUGAAAAUACAAUAAGAAAAAUGACAAGAUUAAGAAAAGAGACAUUCCUGGACAAUGAAAUAUUAAUUUCAUUUGAUUUUUGAUUUUUUGAUUUUUUUUAAUUUUUGAAGAUAGAAGGGUUUACAUCAGAAAGUAAGACAAUAAAGUAAACCAUCAGGAUCACACCCUAAGAUAAUCCGAACGCAGAAAGAAUAGCAAGACUGGCUACUAAGACUCCCGUCUGAUGGGGAACUUUCAUGCUUGGCGACAAUUUUUUGGCUUUAUUUCUGUCUCGGCAAUGGUUGCAAUAGCCUUCAGUGUCGGAUCAAAUUCCUCAUCUUCACAAAUUAUUCCGACUAUUGACCCGCUGUUAUGGGUAGGCAACAUAUUGUUCAUCACAUCAGGAUCUUCUUUAUACUGAAAAAUAAUUCUUUCAGCUUCAAUCAAAUCAAUCAAAUCUUCAACUGCCCUUUUGAGGGUCCAACAGUCCUCUGUACUAUGUCCACAGCUCCAGAGUGGUAUUCACAUCUAGCAUCAGCUCGGUGUGACAGGGACUCGGGGUUUGGCCGGUUCGGGGCCACUAGCUGUAAUAGAUUUAGCCUGAUUAGCCUUUGGAACAAGCUUAAAUACGAUUCACUAAUAGGGGUGAACUGAUUCUUUCUGAAAGGCUCUCUUGGGUGACGAUUGUACUGGGAACAUUUGGUUGGGGAUUAUAUGGAGCUUGGUAAGGAUAGGCAUUUAUGGGAGGUGGAGCUCAGUUUUGUGUAUGAUGUUAUGUGUAAGGUAGCAGCAUCUUGAAGGGGAUAAUAGUGUUGAGGGACCUCAGGAAGCAUAUAUGAUUGACUGAAUGACUACAACCCCCCACCCCCUCCCUUCGAACUGGAAACUAUCAUGGCUCCUUCCUCUCUCCCAUUUCCAUUUAUCAAACCCUCUUUACCGUUUUGAACAUCUGGUGAUUUGGCUUUAAAAGCAGCAUGACACAAGAUUCGACUCGUUUUUAGCCCACUUUCUACCAUCUCCCCAAUUUUGAUAGCCUCAGCAAACAGCUUUCCAAUAGCAAACAUCAUGUUUUGGAAGUAGUCCGCCUCUUGGUCCUAUAGAAAUACCAUGACCAUUUCAAUUUCGUCCAUUGGAGGCUUUACCCUGGCAGCUUGCUCACGCCAUUUGACAGCAUAUUCGCGGAAGUUUUCCGCGAUUUUCUUUUUCAAAUUUGACAAAGAGUUCCUGUCAGGAGCGAUAUCCACAUUAUACUGGAAUUGGCGGACAAAAUCUCGGUCCAUAUCACCUCACAUGUGCCGAUGAGUAACUUUUUGAUCUGUAUAUCUUUCAGAAGCGAUUCCGGUGAGCCUUUCCCCAAAAUAGGCCAUUAGCAGCUCCUCUUUUCCACCAGCACCCCUCAACUGGUUACAGUAUCGUUUCAGGUGAGCGAACGAGUUCCAUGCCCGUCGCACUUUUCAAAUUUUGGCAUCUUGAAGCCAGCUGGCAAGUGGACAUGGGGAAACAAACAGAGGUCAGAGUAUGAGACACUCUUUUGGCCACUCAGACCUUGUAUGUUUUUCAGGCUUUGUUCCAGACUCUUCAUCUUCCGAGCCAUUUCUUCUUGCUUAGGAUUUUUAACCAUCUUUUCUUGCUCCACCGAGAGAUAAUAUUGCGGAGGUUGAGUGAAGGAGUACGGGGUCACAUAUGUUAUUUCUGGUUGAAGUUGUGCACCCUAAAAGAUGAACAUUGGAGGCGGUGCCCUUGAAGCCAGUGCGCGGGGGCGAACCACAGAAGGCAUCCUAGGAUCAUUGGAGGGAAUUGGAGGGUACCCACCUGGGGUGAGCGGGUUGGGCACAGGGGCGUUGGUAACCUCACCUGACCGGGAGAUCAACUCAGGAAUUACACAUGGCGGUUCCCUACCAUUGGACCAGGCGACCCACAUUUCCGACAUGCGGAGACACAACAUCCUAUUCUCUUCAGCAACUGCUGAUUCUAGUUGUGGAAUAGCUGGUGCUAGGCUAUCCUCAAGAUCGAUGAUUUGUAGAUGCCUUUCAGAGACCAUAGGAACCUUUACUUUGGAUCUUGUGAAGUAAGGAUGGGAAUCCAGAUUACCAACAAAACCAACCACCUGAACAGAACCUGGCUAAUUUGCACACCCAACAACCUUGUUAGUUUUGAGACGCUUAACAGAUAGGAAAUCGCAUAUUGGGAUGCAAUGCACCUAAAUAGUUAAACGUUUCUACUAUGUGUUUAAACGAGUUACAUGUUUCAUCCCGGCCUUAAUUACCCCUUUUCACUUUGUACCUCUUUUCUUUCAUUUAUGUUUUUCUUCAACCGCUCUUGAUUUUCUCAUUUUGUUUAUGUCGCUCUUUUAUUUUUGGCACUCUCUUUUUCUCUAAUUAUUUUUGUCACUCUUUUAUUUUUGUCGCUCCCUUUUCUUUUUCUUUUUCUUUUUUUUUCUUUUUCUUUUUCUUUUUCUUUUUCUUUUUUCCUCUUUUCUUUCUUUUUUCNNNNNNNNNNNNNNNNNNNNNNNNNNNNNNNNNNNNNNNNNNNNNNNNNNNNNNNNNNNNNNNNNNNNNNNNNNNNNNNNNNNNNNNNNNNNNNNNNNNNNNNNNNNNNNNNNNNNNNNNNNNNNNNNNNNNNNNNNNNNNNNNNNNNNNNNNNNNNNNNNNNNNNNNNNNNNNNNNNNNNNNNNNNNNNNNNNNNNNNNNNNNNNNNNNNNNNNNNNNNNNNNNNNNNNNNNNNNNNNNNNNNNNNNNNNNNNNNNNNNNNNNNNNNNNNNNNNNNNNNNNNNNNNNNNNNNNNNNNNNNNNNNNNNNNNNNNNNNNNNNNNNNNNNNNNNNNNNNNNNNNNNNNNNNNNNNNNNNNNNNNNNNNNNNNNNNNNNNNNNNNNNNNNNNNNNNNNNNNNNNNNNNNNNNNNNNNNNNNNNNNNNNNNNNNNNNNNNNNNNNNNNNNNNNNNNNNNNNNNNNNNNNNNNNNNNNNNNNNNNNNNNNNNNNNNNNNNNNNNNNNNNNNNNNNNNNNNNNNNNNNNNNNNNNNNNNNNNNNNNNNNNNNNNNNNNNNNNNNNNNNNNNNNNNNNNNNNNNNNNNNNNNNNNNNNNNNNNNNNNNNNNNNNNNNNNNNNNNNNNNNNNNNNNNNNNNNNNNNNNNNNNNNNNNNNNNNNNNNNNNNNNNNNNNNNNNNNNNNNNNNNAGUUUUGGACUUCAAUUUUUUAAAAAUAUUAUUUUAUAUUUUUUGAAAGAAAGAUGUUUAAACAAUGAAUUUUUUUUUAUUCUUUCUUUUUUUCUGAUUUUGUUUUUGAAUUUUUGGGAAAAGCCUUCUUAAAAAGGUAGAAAAAAAUAUUAUUUUUUUUUUUUGGAUUUUGAUUUGACAUGUGGAUUUUUGAAAGAACUUUUAAGAAAAUAUUUCGGAUUUCUGAGUUUCUCUUUUUUUCUUUUUUAAUUUACGAAAGAACUUUUAAAGGAAAGCGAAAAUAUAUUUGGACUUUUAUUUCUCAAUUUUUAUGGACAUUUACAAAAGAAAGACUUCUAAAGAAGAAAAGAGUAUUUUUGGAUAUUUUUUCGGAAUUAUUUUUGAAAAAUAUUUCAAAAUUAAGGAAACCCGUAUUUUGGAUUUUGAUUUUUGAUUGAUUUUUAUUUUUAUUUCUCUUUUUUCCAUAUGAAAAGGAAACUAUUUUUUUGUUUUGAGUUUAAAAAUCUUUAUUUUGAAUUUUCUAGGAAAAUGCUUCUAAAGAAGGAAUUAAGGGAAAAAUUUUGGAUUUUUGAAAAUUGGGGUCAGAACCAAUGAGGUUUGCCUACGUAUCUCACAUCCGGUGAGAAUCAGACCCGCGUCAUUCGGUCAAUUUUGACGGAACAAGGGAAACAUGGCACUUGAAAAUUUUGGCUCAUUUUGAAAUGACUUUUUUUUUUCUUUUUUUUCAGAAUUUCGGCAGAGUUUCAGGAUUUUCAAAUACCUACCUCACUCUUUUUUUUCUUUUUUUUUUUGAUUUUUUCCCUAUUCUAAAAGCCGGUCAACAUGCAAGCCGAAUAAAAUAAAUGCGCAAAUAGCACGUAAGAUGCAUCAGGAUGGUCUUUUUAUCUUGGGUACACCUGUCCUAGACGGACCCAACCCCUGUGUUGGGUCCCCAAAGUCAAAUACACAUGAUGCAAACAAGUGUUCCUACUAGUGAUACGGCAUGAGGCUGUGUUAUUCUAGGUUUAAAACCUGGGUGUAUUGUUCUAGACCUGGCUUACCCAAGCGGACAACUCGAGCCGAGGGGGCAACGUACCGGUAACCAAAAGAUCAUCCGAUUUUGCUACUUGUCCGAACCUAGUUCUAAAUUAGGGUAUGACACUAACAGAAAAGAAGUCACGAAAGCAUGCACUUCCCAGAAUAUUAGAAGAGAAGGAUUUCGCAACAGUUUAUAUACAGUUCAAAUAAUAUCAAAGCAGUAAAAAGCGGCAUUUAGCACAACAGGCCCAAACAUAUAAAAAUCAGAUAAUAAAUAAUGCCAAGCAUAACAGUUAUUCUAAGCUCGAAUUCAUGAACCCUGAAACGGAAGUUCGAGGUUUUUAUUCCACACCAGAGUCGCUAGAGCUGUCACGCCUCCUUUUUCCCACCCGAGGGGGAGUAUAAGAAAGUUUUUCCAAUUAAAGUGACAUUAUUCAAUAUGGGAUUAUUUAUUUAUUUUUCAGAGUUGCCACUUGGAAUAGUUUAUUUGGUGUCCCAAGUCACCAGUUUAUUUUAAAAAUUCCAAAUCGAGGAAAAUCGAUUUUUAUUUAAAAGUUUGCGAAACCAGAAAACUAGGUAAGUAAUUCUGUUAACCCGGGAGAAGGUGUUACGCAUUCUCGGGUUCUGUGGUUCGAGCACGAUCGCUUAACUAUUAAUAAUUGGCCUAAUUUUCUGAUUUGUUACAUGUUUUAAACAUAUUGUGCAUUUUUAACUUUUUAAACCGCUUUUUAGGAUUUAUGAAAUUAUUUCUUGAACAAGUUACGAUUGUCGUACACUUGCCAUUUUGGAACACAUUGCAAACCACGCUACAUAAAAUGCACCCGCGAUUUGCGACAUGUUUAUUUUAUUAAUAGUUCGAAGUUGUUAUGAUCGGGUCACGUGAAAUCCACACCCGAAUUUGGGAUUAGGUAUCACAACUAUGUCACGGGAACUUUACCCGUAGCUACAAGGAUUUUUCUAUAAACUCGCCUAAAGCAAACUAUGAAUGUUCAAAAUAAUUUUUUUACACUAGGUUAUAAUAUUAAUGUGAGGGCAAUAGAUUAGAUGAUUCAAUUAUGAAUGUAAACAGCCUCUCUGCCCCUUGGGGUAGGGGUAAGGUCUGCGUACAUAUUACCCUCUCCAGACCCCACUUGUGGGAUUAUACUGGGUCGUUGUUGUUGUUGUAUAUUUCACUAAAGAAAAAUAAGGAUGCCCCUAUUUAAAUCUAAUUUGAAAUUAGGUAUCACAACUACGCCAUGGUAACCGUACCCGUAGUUGUAAUGAUUUAAUUGCGUGCCUAAAGUAAACUACGGUGUUCGAAAUUAUUUCUUUUCCUAAAUUUGAGGUUAUUGCAAGGCCAUAGCUUAUUUAUCUAUUUUUUAAGAUUGUACAUCCAAGAUACUGUCAACAAUCCAAACUUUCAUAUACAACACUAAAAUUAUGGCACAUAUAGACUACAAUGACAAUAUCCAUAGUGUGAGGAUUCAUCAAGAAAAUGACUAGUUUCGCAUGAAAAAAAAACAAACAAAGUCACCAAAAAAGAAUAACUAUAAGUGAACGAUUGCUACAACAGGUACAUUAAUGCAAACAAAGCUUCUUUCUUACCAAGGAGGAAAAAUACAAAGUAAUAAAGAGAUACAGGACUGCUUUCCAUUAUCCAAUUUGAGUAUUCAUACGUGACAUCUUGUUCCUUAGUCCUAAAGACUCUCAUGCUGAAGAAAAGGACAAAUACAUAAGGAGACACUCAAUUGACCCUAACACAUAUCUAGGAGGCAAAGGUCAAUUUAAUUAUCUCUAUGUGCAUAUUCAUUGGACUCUAUGGCCAAAGAUACAGUGAUGUAGAGCCAAAAAACCAAUUUCUUUUGCCAAAUGACGGUGGUUAACUGCAUACGCGUACAUCUACCCAACAUAUAAUGGCCUUUUAUUUCCUUGUUUCGUACACCCAUUUAAAGGAAAAAAGCAACACAAAUGUUCAGCUAUUAAUGAUUUUGCUAACCAUAACAGAUGAAUCAACUAAACUAUUACAUCUCCUUUUCCAAACUAUCCUUACAAGAAUUAAUAAUUAACAAAAAUGAUUCUCACACUUUGAACAUGAAAUUGACUUAAAUGAAUCAACCAUUAUACAAAUAGUCAUUUUUAAUAAUUCAAAUGAAAGCACAAUACAAGGGAGUUUGGAACUUACCUAGCUGAAGCAGCAAAUACACUAUAAAUAGGCCAAAUUAAGGUAGAAUUCUAAAUCUGGUUACAGUAGAACCCGAGCCAAAUAGAAGAUGACGAUACCCAGCAAGCAGCCACAGAUCCAGCAGUCAAUUAGCAAUUUUGGAGAGUUUAAACACUCCUAGCAGCCAAAGGGAAGGAAAUUUCAAGUUUUCUUCUCAUUUUCUCUUGGAAUUCCAAGUUUUCUUUCGAAUUUACUGCCCUCUUUUGGUCUUGGCUUCCUCUUUUAUUUGAUUUCAGAUAUUUAUUUUUUGAUAUUUUUAGUGUGUGUGAGAGAGAGCUGGCGAUGGAGGAUGAUGGCUAAGCUUUUGUUUUUAUGGAGGAAGUGUGUGAUCUUUGGUUUUGAGAGGGAGAGGAAGAAGAAGAUGGAGGGGAAACAAAUGCUGGGAUUGAAAAAAUGGGGAGGGGAGCUACGCCGUUGUUCUCUGAAGUAGCAGGUGUCGUUGUGUUGAAGAAGAAAGAAAGCACCGUUUCUCUGUCUUUUUCAGAGGGAGAGGGUCCUUGAUUUUUAGGUCUCUAUCUGAUCUUUUUAGGUCUAGCUCUAGGUCUUAAUUAAAAGGGAAG
rnacentral:lncRNA from 1 species